GAUGAACGCUGGCGGCGUGCCUAAUACAUGCAAGUCGAGCGAAUGGAUUAAGAGCUUGCUCUUAUGAAGUUAGCGGCGGACGGGUGAGUAACACGUGGGUAACCUGCCCAUAAGACUGGGAUAACUCCGGGAAACCGGGGCUAAUACCGGAUAACAUUUUGAACCGCAUGGUUCGAAAUUGAAAGGCGGCUUCGGCUGUCACUUAUGGAUGGACCCGCGUCGCAUUAGCUAGUUGGUGAGGUAACGGCUCACCAAGGCGACGAUGCGUAGCCGACCUGAGAGGGUGAGCGGCCACACUGGGACUGAGACACGGCCCAGACUCCUACGGGAGGCAGCAGUAGGGAAUCUUCCGCAAUGGACGAAAGUCUGACGGAGCAACGCCGCGUGAGUGAUGAAGGCUUUCGGGUCGUAAAACUCUGUUGUUAGAGAAGAACAAGUGCUAGUUGAAUAAGCUGGCACCUUGACGGUACCUAACCAGAAAGCCACGGCUAACUACGUGCCAGCCGCCGCCGUAA
rnacentral:rRNA from 1 species